CCCCUUACUGAUUGUGAACUGAUCAGUUAUAUUCUUGCAGGCCUUGGAUCUGAUUAUGAUUCUCUUAUCACCUCGCUCACCACUCGAUUAGAACCGAUGAAUCUCCAAGAGACAUAUGGCCACCUCCUCAAUUAUGAGU